CCUACGGGUGGCAGCAGUGAGGAAUAUUGGUCAAUGGCCGGGAGGCUGAACCAGCCAAGUCGCGUGAGGGAAGACGGCCCUACGGGUUGUAAACCUCUUUUGUCAGGGAGCAAGGUGCAGGUCGGGACCUGCUGUGAGAGUACCUGAAGAAACAGCAUCGGCUAACUCCGUGCCAGCAGCCGCGGUACGACGGAGGAUGCGAGCGUUAUCCGGAUUUAUUUGGUUUAAAGGGUGCGAAGGCGGAGGCACAAGUCAGCGGUAAAAUCGCGGGGCUCAACCCCGCUCCGCCGUUUAAACUGUGUGCAGUGAGUGCGCGAAGGGUAGGCGGAAUGCGUGGGGUAGCGGUGAAAUGCAUAGAUAUCACGCAGAACUCCGAUCGCGAAGGCAGCCUACCGGCGCGCAACUGACGCUCAUGCACGAAAGCGUGGGUAUCGAACAGGAUUAGAUACCCUAGUAGUC
rnacentral:rRNA from 1 species